rnacentral:tRNA from 1 species
GACUCUUUAGCUUAGUUGGUUAAAGCACUGGACUGAAAAUCCAGAUAGUCCGUUCAAUUCGGAGGGAGUCACCA